CCUACGGGAGGCAGCAGUGGGGAAUAUUGCACAAUGGGGGAAACCCUGAUGCAGCGACGCCGCGUGAAGGAAGAAGUAUUUCGGUAUGUAAACUUCUAUCAGCAGGGAAGAAAAUGACGGUACCUGACUAAGAAGCACCGGCUAACUACGUGCCAGCAGCCGCGGUAAUACGGAGGGGGCAAGCGUUAUCCGGAUUUACUGGGGGUAAAGGGGGCGUAGGCGGGUUAGCAAGUCAGAAGUGAAAGCCCGGGGCUUAACCCCGGGACUGCUUUUGAAACUGUUGAACUAGAGUGCAGGAGAGGUAAGUGGAAUUCCUGGUGUAGCGGUGAAAUGCGUAGAUAUUAGGAGGAACACCAGUGGCGAAGGCGGCUUGCUGGACUGUAAAUGACGCUGAGGCGCGAAAGCGUGGGGAGCAAACAGGAUUAGAUACCCGAGUAGUC
rnacentral:rRNA from 1 species